GGGAUAUGAGAAUAGCCUGCUGCAUGAAUACAGAUCCAUUCUGGUCUUUAUAUUGUUGAAGUUUAGUCUGCCCACCUGAAAGGCUCUGGAAUUCCAGCAUCUCUUUGGGUAUAGUGGAUAGUGUCCUGUGUCAUCCAAGAAGAGAC
rnacentral:lncRNA from 1 species